UCCUUCUUAGCUCAGCUGGUAGAGCGCGUCACUAGUAAAAUCGUUAAUGACGAGGUCAGUCGUUCAAGUCGGCUAGAAGGAA